rnacentral:tRNA from 1 species
GGGCACUUGGCGCAGUGGUAGCGCGCCCGCUUUGCAUGCGGAUGGUCGUGGGUUCAAUCCCCACAGUGUCCA